UCGAGAAUCAUUCACAAUGGACGAAAGUCUGAUGGUGCAACGCCGCGUGGAGGAUGAAGGCCCUAGGGUCGUAAACUCCUGUCAUAGCAGAGUAAGGCAUAGAUGUUAAUAGCAUUUAUGUUUGAUAGUAUGCUAAGAGGAAGGGACGGCUAACUUCGUGCCAGCAGCCGCGGUAAUACGAAGGUCCCGAGCGUUAUUCGGAAUCACUGGGCGUAAAGGGAGCGUAGGCGGCGCGGUAAGUCAGAUGUGAAAUCUCAGAGCUCAACUCUGAAACUGCAUUCGAUACUGCCGUGCUAGAGUAAUGGAGAGGUAACUGGAAUUCUUGGUGUAGCAGUGAAAUGCGUAGAUAUCAAGAGGAAGACCAAUGGCGAAAGCAGGUUACUGGACAUUUACUGACGCUGAGGCUCGAAGGCUAGGGUAGCGAAAG
rnacentral:rRNA from 1 species